rnacentral:lncRNA from 1 species
UUUUUUUAAUAUUCCACAGACCAGCAUAAGAUUUUUAACUUAUCUCAAAAAACAAUGUUUUGGUAUAAGCAUAUUUUUCUCACUCCAUAUUUCUAAUUAGGAUGACCAAUUUUUUUUAGAGCACACCUAGGACACAUCCUUACUAGACUUCUGCCUGGGACAUAUCCCAGACUUAUUCAGGCUCUAUAUGAUUUUCAAAUCCAGGUGAAUGGAAUUUAGUCAUUUGUCCAAUAACAAAUUAUUUUUUAUAUACUAUACAAUAUAUUCUGUUUUUCCAUUUACUAUUAAAAUGGCAUAGAUGUUCAACCUUCUUUUCAAUGAUGAUGUAAUAGUUAUUGUUUUCAUUAUCUGAAUUGAACAUGAAUCAGAACUUGCAGUAUUUACAAUAUUAAUAUUUUAAAUAAAACAAGUAUAAUCUUGAUAUGAAGCUCUUCUAUAAUUUUAAUGUCAUUUUCCUCCUGGCAUUCUAAGUAACAGGACAUUCCAGUCCCAUCAUGUGCCAAUCCUACCCCACCCUGAUAGGAUCAGUUGUCAGGUGGAGGAAGGGGCUUAACAGUCCAGGCAGGAUUCCUCCAGAAAAUACUUUUGGAGGUGUGGGACCUGGGAAUUGAACCCUGGUUAUUCCUGAGUAAAAGCACAGUAUAAUUCCACCACAGUCAUCCAAUAUAAAGCUCAACACUUAUAUAAAGACUGCCUUUUAAUAAUUGGAAGCCUAUGAUAACAUGCUCUUAAUUUAAUAAAAGAGUGUAAUACGACAGUAGUGAUAUAUUAAAUCGCAAACAAGUUGCCAGAUUAUAGGAUUUUUAUGGCAUACCUAUUUGACACUAAAAAUGGGAUUCAUUGUUUCAGUUUCUAUUUUUUUAGUCACCAUAUGGAUGUUACAUUUUCUUUCAUAUAUUUUAAAAAAACUGGGAUUUUUAGUGUUCAGGGAGGAUUUAUUUAAGAUGCAGAAUAUAGAGUAUCAAAACCAAAUCCUAGGAAAACCAAGAUGGUUUGUCAUCCUACUCCUGACAUCAUCCAGGAAAUGUAUUACUAGUCUAUGAUUGGCAUAUUGCCUAUGAAUUGUAAAGCUAUACCAUACUAAUAUCAUGCUGUUAAAAACAUAGCAACUGUAAGGAUCCCGCAACAUAUGUAGAUAAGUCGUCAGUCUGACACCAGGAGAAGUUUUACGUGUUUCUCCA